AGUAGUGCUAAGCUCUGCUAGAGCACUGACAAUAACAAGAGUGUGCUACACGAAAAGUGAUGGGGGUGGGGUGUAAAAUAAUUAUUACGGAUGCCUAACUGGACCUGUUCAUCAGAAUAUACUUUGAAUGUAUCUUAGUCCAGUUUCUGGAGAGAGGCUGGCCAUGGUGAAUUGUUGAAUACCUUUUCUUUUUUCUUUCUUUCUUUCUUUUUACUUUCCCUCUCUAUUUUUCACUAUUUCUCUCUUUUUUCUUCUAUAUUUGACUCAAGCUAUUUUACUUUCUUACACAAGGAAAAAAUCGUAUUCAUACAGCUCCAUAAAUCUAUAUUACAGUAAUAAAUAUAAAAAAAGAAUGAUUAAUAAAGUAAAUAAAUUUGUGCAAUAUAACUUUUUCAGCUUUAUCUCUGUAUACACUUUCCGUGGCGAUGUAAUUAGAAAGAAAGUGAAAUUUAAGGAACAAAUUAAAGGUAAAAAAUGAACUUAAGCUCCAUCAACUACUCAGCUCACACGGCUAAGUGCAUUUUAAUGAUGUCAGAGAUGAAUAUCAUGAUACCCCCAUUUUGCAAUCCUAGAAUAGAAGCAAGAGGAGGCUUUAAAAAAUAUGAAACAAUAAUGCGAAAAAACAAGAUAUGCAUAUCGCUAGGUUUCUCCAACAAAUACCUUCUGCUAAUGAUAGUAGCCAUGAAAUCCUUCGAGAACAUAGUAUGAUUCAGUGGAACAUACCAUAACUGGUGCAUCUGAUAGAUCAUCUUUUUAUGAGAUUUCCACAGUGUCAAUAAAUAUAAGAUUUAGUCACUUCAACGUUAUUCUUUACUUUAUGAAAAAUAUAAAAUAAAAAUAAUAACAAUAAAAACUUUUGAAAGAAUGUGGUAAAGUU